rnacentral:rRNA from 1 species
AUUGAACGCUGGCGGCAGGCUUAACACAUGCAAGUCGAGCGGGGGAAGGUAGCUUGCUACCGGACCUAGCGGCGGACGGGUGAGUAAUGCUUAGGAAUCUGCCUAUUAGUGGGGGACAACAUCUCGAAAGGGAUGCUAAUACCGCAUACGUCCUACGGGAGAAAGCAGGGGAUCUUCGGACCUUGCGCUAAUAGAUGAGCCUAAGUCGGAUUAGCUAGUUGGUGGGGUAAAGGCCUACCAAGGCGACGAUCUGUAGCGGGUCUGAGAGGAUGAUCCACCAAACUGGGACGGAGACACGGCCCAGACUCCUACGGGAGGCAGCAGUGGGGAAUAUUGGACAAUGGGGGGAACCCUGAUCCAGCCAUGCCGCGUGUGUGAAGAGGGCCUUAUGGUUGUAAAGCACUUUAAGCGAGGAGGAGGCUACUUUAGUUAAUACCUAGAGAUAGUGGACGUUACUCGCAGAAUAAGCACCGGCUAACUCUGUGCCAGCCGCCGCCGUAA